rnacentral:rRNA from 1 species
UACAGAGGGGGGCAAGCGUUAUUCGGAAUUAUUGGGCGUAAAGGGCGCGUAGGCGGCUUUUCAAGUGACGGGUGAAAUCCCUCGGCUUAACCGAGGAACUGCCUGUCAGACUGGAAGGCUUGAGACCGGGAGAGGUGAGUGGAAUUCCCAGUGUAGCGGUGAAAUGCGUAGAUAUUGGGAGGAACACCAGUGGCGAAGGCGGCUCACUGGACCGGAACUGACGCUGAGACGCGAAAGCGUGGGGAGCGAACCGG